AACGAACGCUGGCGGCAGGCUUAACACAUGCAAGUUGAACGGGAUUGAUUGUAGCAAUACGGUCAUGAGAGUAGCGCACGGGUGCGUAACACGUAUGCAACCUACCUAUAACUGGGGAAUAGCCUCCCGAAAGGGAGAUUAAUACCGCAUAAUAUUAUUGAAUGGCAUCAUUUGAUAAUUAAACCUCAGGGGGUUAUAGAUGGGCAUGCGUCCGAUUAGCUAGUUGGUGAGGUAAUGGCUCACCAAGGCUACGAUCGGUAGGGGGUCUGAGAGGAUGAUCCCCCACACUGGUACUGAGACACGGACCAGACUCCUACGGGAGGCAGCAGUAAGGAAUAUUGGACAAUGGGCGCAAGCCUGAUCCAGCCAUGCCGCGUGAAGGAUGAAGGCCCUAUGGGUCGUAAACUUCUUUUAAACGGGACGAAACCCCUCGACGUGUCGAGGGCUGACGGUACCGUAAGAAUAAGGGUCGGCUAACUUCGUGCCAGCCGCCGCGGUAAAAC
rnacentral:rRNA from 1 species